AUGGAGCAGGAAAGGACAGCUCUUGGUGAGUUCAUUCAGACUCAUGCCAAACUGUCCCCCCACCUCAGUGUGCCUGAGAGACAAGCAGCGGAAAUACAGCAAAACAAUUUGCAAACCCAGUGGAGGGUGCUAGAGAAGGAUGCAGAGAUUGUUCUUUACAUGGUUAAUGCUCAUGCUAAAGAAAUCAGCAGCCUUAUUCAAGAGGUCAGUGCUUUAAAAGACCAUCUCGAGAACAUUCAGAAGACCUUGGAUGCAUCGAAAACCUCACCAGUUUUAUGGGAUGGCAAGAGAGCUCAAGAAAUUAUGAAUUUAAAUGCUGAGCUCACUUCCACCCAUCAGCAGUACCUCUACCUUCAGCAGACCUCUGAGGCACUUGCCCAGGAAUUCCAAUUCAAUGCAGAGAUAUCCAGCAUAGAGCAGGAUCUUCAGCAUAUAAAAGAUCAGCUGAAUCAAAUGGGUGAACAGUUAGCAGCUUCAACUCCUAGCAGCAGCAACUCAACGUUAAGUAAAAUUGUUAAGGUGAUGACAGAUGCUCUGGCUUGGGCAAAGCAGACAGAAUCUGAUGUCAAAGGACGACAGAAAAAGGUGCCUUUGCUUCCAGAAGAAGUCCAUCGACAGAUUAAAGAUUUAAAGAAAUUGCAGUCUGAGAUGAACUCGAAGCAAACCCAGUUGAAGUCUUUGGUUGAGGAAGUCACUGAGCUGAUUUCUGAUCUAGAUGAAGCUGAUGUUCCAAUGGUGACCUCAUCCUUGAAGGUCCUAGAGAAUUUGUCCAAAUCAACAGCAGGAAAACUGGCUGAGGCAGUUCGUGAGAUGGAGUCAGGUCUUCAGACCCGGGAGAAGAUGUCAGAGCAAAUAGCAGAUAUUGAUUCCUGGGUGGUUGUACAUCGGCAGAGGGUAGCUUUGAGAAAAGAGGAUUAUCAAAGUUUGAGUGUGGCAGACCUGGAUCGCAGGUUGAGGCAGAUCGAGGAGAUUCUUGGAGAAGCAGAAAAGCAGUCCGCUGUCACUGAAGCCCUUCUGAUGAAAAGCAGAGACAUUGCAUCCGAGCUAAGUGUCACAGAGAGUACUAAGCUCUAUGAGAAACUCACCAACCUUCAAGAGGACAUUAAAAGGAUUAUUAUCUAUGAGAAGGCAUGUUGCCAGAAAAUUAUAGAUGUUAUACAGAGCCAAGAAUCCUCUCAGAGGAAGGUGUCAUCUCUCGAGAACAGCCUGAGACAAAUGUUAGUUGAUGUAAAAAGACACAGGUUUCCUGUUACGAAGGAUACCCUCUCUGUCAUUGAACCCUUCAAACAGAUGCUUGUGGAGCACAAAUCUCAUGUUGAGCAAGUCAAUCCUUGUUCAGAGGAAAAGAGAAGAGAGAUGUUAUGUGUUAUUACUGAACUGUACCACAAAAUGAUUGAUUUGGAACUCAAAUCACAAGCUCAUGAAAGGUACUUGAGCCUCAGUCGGUGCAUUGACGAUGUCAAGGAAGAAAUAGAGGCUCAGAUCCCAAGGACCAAAGAUGAGAGCAUUAACAAAGACGAACGCUACAGAGCCUGUCAGACCCUUCUGAUCCAUAUCUCUUUAGUAAAACUCUUGUGUGAGGAAACAAUGGAUGAACUGCAGGAAAUCACAGCAGAUCUAUAUCCAUCUCAGCUCUCUGCUGAACAAACAAGACUCAAACAAAUACUGGAAAGUCUCGAAACCUCAGAAAUGGCAGUGAACAAUAAUCUUCAGAUAUUGGAAUGGGAUCUGCUAAAACAUAUUCAUUAUCCAUCAGAAAAAAGAGCACUUCAGCAAUUCCUCAAAGACACCAAUGAGAAGCUGGAAAAGCCUUGUAGUAUUGAACCAAAAGAGGCAGUGAUUGAAAAACAACUAAGAAAGUGCCUUGUACUCAGAAAGAAUGUAGAAUCUAGAAUACGAGUGCUUGAGUUCCUUGAAAAAAAGGUUGGAGCUCGACCUCCACAGGAUUCCAAACAGCUUGCUUGCUUGAAGGAUAUGGUUUUGGAAAAGUGUGAUCAACGAAUGGUGAGUUUAAUCUGUUUCAUCUUUGACACACAGUUUCAUUGA
ensembl:lncRNA